rnacentral:rRNA from 1 species
AAUAUUGGACAAUGGGCGCAAGCCUGAUCCAGCCAUGCCGCGUGCAGGAAGACUGCCCUAUGGGUUGUAAACUGCUUUUAUACAGGAAGAAACCUUUCCACGUGUGGAGAGCUGACGGUACUGUAAGAAUAAGGAUCGGCUAACUCCGUGCCAGCAGCCGCGGUAAUACGGAGGAUCCAAGCGUUAUCCGGAAUCAUUGGGUUUAAAGGGUCCGUAGGUGGAUUAUUAAGUCAGGGGUGAAAGUCUGCAGCUCAACUGUAGAAUUGCCUUUGAUACUGGUAAUCUUGAGUCAUUAUGAAGUGGUUAGAAUGUGUAGUGUAGCGGUGAAAUGCAUAGAUAUUACACAGAAUACCGAUUGCGAAGGCAGAUCACUAAUAAUGUACUGACACUGAUGGACGAAAGCGUGGGUAGCGAACAGGAUUAGAUACCCUGGUAGUCCACGCCGUA